CAGGCCUAACACAUGCAAGUCGAACGGAGCCUUCGGGCUUAGUGGCGCACGGGUGCGUAACGCGUGGGAAUCUGCCCUUGGGUUCGGAAUAACAGUUAGAAAUGACUGCUAAUACCGGAUGAUGACGUAAGUCCAAAGAUUUAUCGCCCAAGGAUGAGCCCGCGUAGGAUUAGCUAGUUGGUGGGGUAAAGGCCCACCAAGGCGACGAUCCUUAGCUGGUAUGAGAGGAUGAUCAGCCACACUGGGACUGAGACACGGCCCAGACUCCUACGGGAGGCAGCAGUGGGGAAUAUUGGACAAUGGGCGAAAGCCUGAACCAGCCAUGCCGCGUGCAGGAAGACGGCCCUACGGGUUGUAAACUGCUUUUAUACGGGAAUAAACCCAGAUAUGUAUAUACUGGCUGAAUGUACUGUAAGAAUAAGGAUCGGCUAACUCCGUGCCAGCAGCCGCGGUAAU
rnacentral:rRNA from 1 species